UGGGGAAUAUUGCACAAUGGGCGCAAGCCUGAUGCAGCCAUGCCGCGUGUGUGAAGAAGGCCUUCGGGUUGUAAAGCACUUUCAGCGGGGAGGAAGGCGUUAAGGUUAAUAACCUUGGCGAUUGACGUUACCCGCAGAAGAAGCACCGGCUAACUCCGUGCCAGCAGCCGCGGUAAUACGGAGGGUGCAAGCGUUAAUCGGAAUUACUGGGCGUAAAGCGCACGCAGGCGGUCUGUCAAGUCGGAUGUGAAAUCCCCGGGCUCAACCUGGGAACUGCAUUCGAAACUGGCAGGCUAGAGUCUUGUAGAGGGGGGUAGAAUUCCAGGUGUAGCGGUGAAAUGCGUAGAGAUCUGGAGGAAUACCGGUGGCGAAGGCGGCCCCCUGGACAAAGACUGACGCUCAGGUGCGAAAGCGUGGGGAGCUAACAGG
rnacentral:rRNA from 1 species